rnacentral:lncRNA from 1 species
AAAGAAUAUAUACAACACAUUUAUGUAUUUAUUAAUCAAUUAGAUGUGAAAAUUAAUUAAUUAACAACAAAGAGAAUCCAAGUAAUUUAAUUUUCCUUCAGUCAUAACUCAAAAAUAUAAUUUGCCCUAAAAUUAAAAUGCGUAUAUAUGUCUGCAUCACUAAAAACUCAAAUUCCACAAAUAAUUAAGUAGGUAAAUAUAGUAUGUAAAUAAAAGAAAGUUUCAUAUUAUCAUUAUGAUCGAGAAAGCAACAUAAUUUCAGAAAUUUGGUAAAAUUCCAAAAAAAAAAAAAACGAAGCAGGAAAAUAAGCCCUUUUUAUCUAGGGCGCCAAAGCUACCCCCAUACAACUCUGCAAGAUCAUUAAUUAGUAGCUAUGUGUGUGUGUGUAUAUAGCUAUUAAUUAGAUGGUGGUUCAUAAUGGUGCUGGGGGUUUGGUCCUCCUUUUGCAGCUCUAUCGGUAAUUAGUGAUCUCCUUCGGUAGUUCUCAAGUGACGAGGGAUCAAACCGUAAUUUAAACAAGAAAAGUUGGCUAUCAAACUUCUUCUCGAUGGAUGGAACACCACCAUAGUGAAAAAUGCGUGAUUCAGAAGUGACAAAGAAACUGAGGAAGAUAAUGAUGAGAAUGACUAGCGUAAUCCGCUCAGCUGUUGAAUUAGCCAUGCGAUAGAGAUAUAUAGAUCGAGGUUUAAUUACACAAGGGUUCAAUGGAAAGUAGUUGAGAAUAGCAAUAGCAAUAGCAAUAGCUUGAGAG